rnacentral:tRNA from 1 species
GCGGUCGUGGUGGAAUCGGUAGACACGCCGGCCUUAGGAGCCGGUGCCGCAAGGCAUGGGGGUUCAAGUCCCUCCGCCCGCA